GAAUACAGCUCGACUUUCCUAUCAGUCAAUUAUCAACACAACAAAGUUGCUUCCACAAUAGUUAUCCACUCCAAACAUAGUUUGCUUUUCACAGCACACGAAGACUGAGAAAUGAAACUAAAAUGGUGGCAUUCGUGUUAUCCGCCUCCAGUAGAUAGCUCAUUACUUGUUGGCCGACGAUGAAACUCAGCAAUGAAUCAUAUGCAACCGGGUCGUAGUUUUAUCGUAUCGUUUGCUUCAAAUUCGGAAUUUCACAAUACCGAACUAUCCACAAUUAUCAGUUACAACACAUGCGAACCAGUAAAGCUAAUUGUUUAAUUCGGUUCAGUUCCUCCACGAAAAUGAGUCAAGACCGAGGAAAUUUCCUGCACCAUCGCGAGAUGUUUCGUUCAUUAUCGAGCCACAGAAUUGCUCACUUACCGUAGGUGCACUUGGCACUUCCGGAGCUCCCGAACCUCCCACUAGAGGUAGCACAGUUUUCUCUGGUUUCUUCACAUCCCCAAAGGGUUUCGUAAGAAUGGUCAUCUUCUACUAUGUUUGCUGCUCCUCGCCCUCUAGUAAUCCAACAAAGCAACAGAGUACAAGUACAAAAUUGUCUAUCGUUGAAAAUAGUUAAUUCUUUUUUUUUCUCUAGCAAAAAUCACUACACGACGACUUGACAAUAUGCGCGUAUGUUUUUGUUGUUCUCUCACUAUACUGACGAUUUCUGAUUCCACACAGUUCCAUCGAAGCUCAUGAAAAUGUCCGUAAUAUAUGAGUUAACUGAAAAGAGAGAGUAUGAUAAUUCUACU